rnacentral:rRNA from 1 species
GACGAACGCUGGCGGCGUGCUUAACACAUGCAAGUCGAGCGGUAAGGCCCUUUCGGGGGUACACGAGCGGCGAACGGGUGAGUAACACGUGGGUGACCUGCCCUCAGCUCUGGGAUAAGCCUGGGAAACUGGGUCUAAUACUGGAUAUGACUCCACGGUGCAUGUCGUGGGGUGGAAAGCCUUGUGCGGCUGAGGAUGGGCCCGCGGCCUAUCAGCUUGUUGGUGGGGUGANGGCCUACCAAGGCGACGACGGGUAGCCGGCCUGAGAGGGCGACCGGCCACACUGGGACUGAGACACGGGCCCAGACUCCUACGGGAGGCAGCAGUGGGGAAUCUUGCGCAAUGGGCGAAAGCCUGACGCAGCGACGCCGCGUGAGGGAUGACGGCCUCGGUGUAACGUA